UUAUGGCUCAGGAUGAACGCUGGCGGCGUGCUUAACACAUGCAAGUCGAACGGGGUUUAAGAAGGAAGCUUGCUUUCAUUUAAACCUAGUGGCGGACGGGUGAGUAACGCGUGAGGAACCUGCCCUUCAGUGAGGAACAACAACUAGAAAUGGUUGCUAAUACCGCAUAAUGUCGGAGAGCCGCAUGACAUUCCGACCAAAGGAUUUAUUCGCUGAAGGAUGGCCUCGCGUCCGAUUAGGCAGUUGGUGAGGUAACGGCCCACCAAACCUACGAUCGGUAGCCGAACUGAGAGGUUGAUCGGCCACAUUGGGACUGAGACACGGCCCAGACUCCUACGGGAGGCAGCAGUGGGGAAUAUUGGGCAAUGGGCGAAAAAGCCUGACCCAGCAACGCCGCGUGAAGGAUGACGGUCUUCGGAUUGUAAACUUCUUUAAUUGGGGAAGAACAAAAUGACCUACCCAAAGAAUAAGUCACGGCUAACUACGUGCCAGCCGCAGC
rnacentral:rRNA from 1 species